UACGUAGGUGGCAAGCGUUGUCCGGAUUUAUUGGGCGUAAAGGGAGCGCAGGCGGUGACUUAAGUCUGAUGUGAAAGCCCACGGCUCAACCGUGGAAGGUCAUUGGAAACUGGGUCACUUGAAUAUAGAAGAGGAAAGUGGAAUUCCAUGUGUAGCGGUAAAAUGCAUAGAGAUAUGGAGGAACACCAGUGGCGAAGGCGGCUUACUGGUCUGGAAUUGACACUGAGGCACGAAAGCGUGGGUAGCAAACAGGAUUAGAUACCCCGGUAGU
rnacentral:rRNA from 1 species